UUGAUCGAGGGCAGCAUAAACAGAAUCCACCAUUGCAUCAAAUAAGUUCCUAUAUUGAUACGAACCGUCUUGUACCACCACAUUAGGUGCUGUAAAAAGAGCAUAGGGAAGUGAAAUCUGUCCUGGAUUACCAGAAUAACUAAAAUAAGGAUAAAUGUUAACGAGCAAAGGUGCACGCGUAUCCCUCAAAAAUCCAACAAUCGGAUCAGUGAACCAUCUCACAUCGUUCCUAAAAGAACCCUGUGAUGGUG